rnacentral:rRNA from 1 species
UACGUAGGGGGCAAGCGUUGUCCGGAUUUAUUGGGCGUAAAGAGCGUGUAGGCGGCCAUGUAGGUCCGUUGUGAAAACUCGAGGCUCAACCUCGAGACGCCGAUGGAAACCAUGUGGCUAGAGUCCGGAAGAGGAGAGUGGAAUUCCUGGUGUAGAGGUGAAAUUCGUAGAUAUCAGGAGGAACACCAGUGGCGAAGGCGGCUUUCUGGACGGUAACUGACGCUGAGACGCGAAAGCGUGGGGAGCAAACAGG